AUUUAGCUCUUGGGGGUCAUUAUUUUCUGUUAGAAGGGUGUAGUUUUGGGGUUGGAAUAUGUAGCAUAGGGGUAAGAUGGGAUUAUGGUUUGGGAAUUGUCUAUUUAGCUCUUGGGGGUCUUUAUUUUCUGUUAGGAAGGUAGAGUUUUGGGGUUGGAAUAUGUAGCAUACGGGUCAUCCUUUUCUGUUGGGAGGGCUAGAUUAUAGAGGUUGGUCGUGUAGGUAGCCCCUUUGUAUUGGUUAAACUUCUUUGUGUUUGAUUGGUUAAGCCCCUUGGGUUGUCAUCUCUUGUUAUUAGUAUAGGGUUGGAUUGGUCUAUUUGGGUUGUAGGGUGUUUGUUUUGUAUUAGGAGGGAGGGGUUAGGAAGGGUUUGGGAAUUGUCUAUUUAGCUCUUGGGGGUCUUCAUUUUCUGUUAGGAAGGUAGAGUUUUGGGUUGGAAUAUGUAGCAUAGGGGGUCAUCCUUUUCUAUUGGGAGGGGUAGAUUAUAGAGGGAGGUUGUGUAGGUAGCCCCUUUGUAUUGGUUAAACUUCUUUGUGUU